AAGGAUCAUUACUGAACUGUCAACACGAGUUGUUGCUGGUCCUCAAAUGGGGGCAUGUGCACACUCUGUUUACAUACCCACUCACACCUGUGCACCCUCUGUAGUUCUAUGGUGUGGGGGACUCUGUCUUCCCACUGUGGUUCUAUGUCUUUACACACACACACACAGUGAUAAAGUCUCAUGGAAUGUACAUCGCGUUUAACGCAAUACAAUACAACUUUCAGCAACGGAUCUCUUGGCUCUC
rnacentral:misc_RNA from 1 species